CCUGUGUAUUGCUGAUCAUCUGCCAUCUCUGACCUUUGCUCAUAUCCUGCUUGAAAAAGAGAGGAAAGAAAACUUCAAAUAAGGAAUGGUAACUCUUAUAAUAUGACCUUUGGUUUCUAAAUAAAACACUUUAUUUUAAAGCUUGAAAUUAAAUAAAAUUUCAUAACUCCAUAUAACAUCCCUUGUUAUUUUUAAAUAAAGGAAUGCUGUGUGUCUAAAAUACCUUCUGAUAAGUUUGGCAACUACAAUGAAUUUGCAAUGCUCACUGCAAACAAUAAAUGAAACACCUAGGAUUUUACCCCUGCUACUGUGAAGCUCUGCCUACCACUCGCAAUGUGAAUCUGUCUCUGCCUUUGAGUGUCAUAAUCAGCAUGGAUAUUUCUACACCUCUGACAUGCCCCAAGGACUCCUAGUCAGAUGAAUGGAAAGACAAUGGAAGAGAUGACCAAGCUUGAGGGAAAAUAAACCCCAGGACAGAAGAGCCUGUGCUGGUUUUCAAUUGCAGAAGUCCAAUUACCCCAUGCAGAUCAGAUCUCAGUGCUGAAGAAAUUUCUGUUUGCUUUAUACCUUUCAAUAUUAAUGACUCUAGUGGCAGUAAUGUAAUAAAUGACCUGUUUUUUUUUUAAAUUUUAACAUGUUAAUUGUUAAACAUAAUAGUGUUAUUUAGCUAUAAACCAAAAAAUAUGUUUAAAUAACAAAUCAUGAUUUAUUGUCUUAACUAGCAACAUUAAUGCAUCAUCCAGGCUCACACAAGCAGAGAAAAAAUUAUUCUCAGCUUUCAGAAAAGUACCAACCUGUAUUACCUCAGGGUGAGAUCCAAUAUUAUCGCAGAAAAGUUUAAAUGGAUAUUUUCAUACAUUUCACAUUUUCUGUGCAACUCACUUUUCCUCUUCAGAUAAAAAUAAACAAAGUGCUUGAAAUUUAUUACAUUUGUCAUUUGCUUUACCAGCAGUAUCUUUUCUUUGGCAUUUGAUUGAUUUGUAAUUUGAAUGACAGCUGAAGUCUUUAAUAAAGCCUUGAGGUGUUCAUAGAUUGUUUAGAGCCUCUUAAAUCUGUAAAGGAUCUACUAUAAGGCCUCCAACUUUAACUUUGAAAUAUUCUUGUGGCUCACUGCAAGAUAGAAGAAUCAAGAAGCUGUGGACCUGAAUCUCAUGUGAUUUAAAGAUGACUCAGUGUCUGAGGCACAAUUUUUCAUUUACAUUUUCAUCAGUCAGACAUUGUAAUUACUAUCAUAUUAUAAAAGUUAUUAUGCCCAAAGCAUUACUUGUGCCACUUAAACACUAUUUAGUAAAUGGAACUGCAUAAAUAAUUAGUGUAAUAUUUACUAGAAAAAGUGAAAAUAAAAAACAUAAUGAUG